UACGUAGGUGGCAAGCGUUGUCCGGAUUUACUGGGUGUAAAGGGCGUGCAGCCGGGCCGACAAGUCAGAUGUGAAAUCCGCGGGCUUAACCCGCGAACUGCAUUUGAAACUAUAGGUCUUGAGUGCCGGAGAGGUAAUCGGAAUUCCUUGUGUAGCGGUGAAAUGCGUAGAUAUUAGGAGGAACACCAGUGGCGAAGGCGAUUUGCUGGGCCAUUACUGACGCUCAUGCACGAAAGCGUGGGGAGCAAAUAGG
rnacentral:rRNA from 1 species